GCCUGGGUGGCUCAGUCGGUUGAGCGUCCGACUUCGGCUCAGGUCGUGAUCUCGAAGCUCGUGAGUUCGAGCCCCACGUCGGGCU
rnacentral:tRNA from 1 species